rnacentral:rRNA from 1 species
AUUGAACGCUGGCGGCAGGCCUAACACAUGCAAGUCGAGCGAGCGGCGGACGGGUGAGUAAUGUGUGGGGAACUGCCCGAUAGAGGGGGGUAACUACUGGAAACGGUAUCUAAUACCGCAUACUAUAGGAUAAACCCAUAUGGGGUUAGCUAGUAGGUGAGGUAAUGGCUCACCUAGGCGACGAUCCCUAGCUGGUCUGAGAGGAUGAUCAGCCACACUGGAACUGAGACACGGUCCAGACUCCUACGGGAGGCAGCAGUGGGGAAUAUUGCACAAUGGGCGCAAGCCUGAUGCAGCCAUGCCGCGUGUAUGAAGAAGGCCUUCGGGUUGUAAAGUACUUUCAGCGAGGAAGCGUUACUCGCAGAAGAAGCACCGGCUAACUCCGUGCCAGCCGCCGCGGUAAUUC